rnacentral:rRNA from 1 species
AGGUAGUUGGUAGGGUAAAGGCCUACCAAGCCGACGAUGGGUAGCCGACCUGAGAGGGUGAUCGGCCACACUGGAACUGAGACACGGUCCAGACUCCUACGGGAGGCAGCAGUGGGGAAUAUUGGGCAAUGGGCGCAAGCCUGACCCAGCAACGCCGCGUGAGGGAAGAAGGCCUUCGGGUUGUAAACCUCUGUCCUAUGGGAAGAAGAAAGUGACGGUACCAUAGGAGGAAGCUCCGGCUAACUACGUGCCAGCAGCCGCGGUAAUACGUAGGGAGCAAGCGUUGUCCGGAAUUACUGGGCGUAAAGGGUGCGUAGGCGGUUGUUUAAGUCAGAUGUGAAAUACCCGGGCUUAACUCGGGGGCUGCAUCUGAUACUGGAUAACUAGAGUGCAGGAGAGGAAAGUGGAAUUCCUAGUGUAGCGGUGGAAUGCGUAGAUAUUAGGAGGAACACCAGUGGCGAAGGCGACUUUCUGGACUGUAACUGACGCUGAGGCACGAAAGUAUGGGUAGCAAACAGGAUUAGAUACCCUGGUAGUCCAUACUGUAAACGAUGAAUACUAGGUGUGGGGGACAAUAGUCUUCCGUGCCGCAGCCAACGCAAUAAGUAUUCCGCCUGGGGAGUACGGUCGCAAGACUGAAACUCAAAGGAAUUGACGGGGGCCCGCACAAGCAGCGGAGCAUGUGGUUUAAUUCGAAGCAACGCGAAGAACCUUACCAAGGCUUGACAUCCCGGUGACCGGCAUAGAGAUAUGCCUUCUCUUCGGAGCACCGGUGACAGGUGGUGCAUGGUUGUCGUCAGCUCGUGUCGUGAGAUGUUGGGUUAAGUCCCGCAACGAGCGCAACCCUUGUUACUAGUUGCCAGCAUUUCGGAUGGGAACUCUAGUGAGACUGCCGGGGAUAACUCGGAGGAAGGUGGGGAUGACGUCAAAUCAUCAUGCCCUUUAUGUCUUGGGCUACACACGUGCUACAAUGGUCGGUACAAAGAGCGGCGAGCUCGUAAGAGUAAGCGAAUCUCAUAAAGCCGGUCUCAGUUCAGAUUGUGGGCUGCAACCCGCCCACAUGAAGUCGGAGUUGCUAGUAAUCGCGGAUCAGCAUGCCGCGGUGAAUGCGUUCCCGGGCCUUGUACACACCGCCCGUCACGCCAUGGAAGUUGGGGGCGCCCGAAGCCGAUGGCCUAACCGCAAGGAGGGAGUCGUCGAAGGUGAAACCAAUGACUGGGGUGAAGUCGUAACAAGGUAACCGUACUAGUACGCCGAGGUC